GACGGAGGAUGCAAGUGUUAUCCGGAAUCACUGGGCGUAAAGCGUCUGUAGGUGGUUUCAAAAGUCCACUGUUAAAGAUUGAAGCUUAACUUCAAAAAUGCCGUGGAAACUUUGAAACUUGAGUAUGAUAGGGGUAGAGGGAAUUUCCAGUGGAGCGGUGAAAUGCGUAGAUAUUGGAAAGACCACCAAUGGCGAAGGCACUCUACUGGGCCAUUACUGACACUGGGGUGCGAAAGCAUGGGGAGCGAACAGG
rnacentral:rRNA from 1 species